UCUGAAAAACAAAGAGAGAGGUUUUGGUAAACAUGCAGUUUUGAUUUGAGAGAUGGAUACUAACCACAUCAGAUCACCUUAGUGGAAGCAAAGGCUCUGUCUAGUGAUAUUACUGAUGGCCCCUAGGAAUUCCCAGCCCGUAAUCUUUAGACUAUAUCUCAGUAGUUUUAUAAAUCAGAGUGAAAACAGAUCAUAAUCAACGAGACUCUUGAUUGAGUCUAAAAAAGAUUAAUGACCUGACCAAUUAUCUUCAAAAGGUAGCUCUAGAGGAGGUGCAAUAUAGAAUGAGAGGACCAUAUGCGAGGCAGCUAAAAGGGUGUUGUAGUAAGCAGGUGAGAUAAAAUGCCAGUGGCUGAGAUGGAGAAGAGGAAAACACAGUGGUGAGAUAUUAAGAAGGUAACUAACUAGAUAGGGAAGCAGGGAGAAGAAAUCACAGAGGAGGGGAAAGCCACUGGGUAGAAGGCAGUGACUUGGCUGAGAGAAACGACAACACAGAGAUGGAGUUUGUUAGGAAGAUGAUGACCACAGUUUAGACACGUUGAACUUGACAGAAACUUGAGACACUCAAGCAGUACUGUUCAAAAGGCAGCUGGAUUUUGGAAAAGAGACUAGAGAAUCAGUGUACUUGGGGUGGAAGAAACCACAGAGGUAGAUGAGAUUACCCAGGGAGAGAGUAUAGACUGAGAAGCAAACAGGCUGUUGAACACAGACAUUUACGAAUGGGUCAAGGGAGAGCCUGGAAAGGAAACUGAGAAGUGGCCAGAAACAUACAAGAUAAACCAGAAGAGAUGAUAUCACUGAAACAGAGGUGGUGAAGAUGUCAAAGGCAGCAGAGAAUCUAGGUAAGAUGAGAACUGAAGGAUCCAUUGGAUUUUACCCAAAAGAAAUCACUCAAAGCCUUGGAAGAAUAUGGUUAGGGUCUGACUAGGUGGCAAUCUGAGUACACCACAAUGAUUGGAGGUAAGUAAGUGUCAACAGCUAGAGUGAUUAUGCUUUCUUG